CCUGUCUGCUGCAGAGAGGAAUUGUGUGUUUAGGUCCCAAGCCCAUGUGUCCCACUUGUCUGGAAGAACAUUUGGAGUCUGGCCUGGUCCUUUUCGUAGCUCCAGAGGAUUUUUAGGAGCAUGGGGAGCAUGGGAUGCAUGGACCUGAGGACCCACAAAACCUUCUGGAGAAUGUUCGCUAUGGAUAAAAGCAUCUGGAAGUUUCUACCAUCUUUUUACCCUGUUUUUUCCUGGGUCACCCUGUGUCAUUUGUGGCCCUGUCCUGAGGAUUAUAGCACACAGUCACUUACUGGAAUACCUCCCCAUGCAUCUUCUUGAAAUGGAGCCACUGCUUUACCCAGCUGGCAGAUAUUUUCUCCUCUUCCAGAGCUUUUCCAGUGCAGCAGCAGCACUCCUGUCCAGCAGGAUGAUUGAGUGCCCUGUCCUUGUGGCCAACUGCUUUGCCUGGAAGGUUAAUGGCAGAGGAGAAAAUGUGAAGGAAGGACAGGGCUGUUGGUACUGCAGGGCAUUCUGAGCAGGUGGAUACCAAACAGCAUUUGUGACCAGGUCUCGAUUGACUGCAGAAAGGAGAAGGGAGGAGCGUGUCAAAAGGAGGACAGAUCCUGCCAGGGUUUCCUGGCAAAUGAGGUCUAUCCACUGUUUGGAAGAUGAAACCUGAUGAGCUGCAAUUUGGGUUGGAUUACAGUAUUUCAGAAGACUUUCUGAACUUGCCAGGCAACCCUUCCCCUUGACUUUGGGGACAGAGGAAAUUAAAUUUAUAUUUCCAGUGUCACACAAGGAGAUAGAAUGGAGUUGGCUGCUUUACACAAGUAAUGAAAACCAAUGCUGUGCUGCUCUUGGAAGGAGUGCUCAAAAGGAGAAAAGUGUGGCAUACACAUCUUGGUUUAGAGACAGAUUUUAUUUGGGAAAGUGUGCCUAGGGGAAGAUAGAAGAAAGAGAAGAGGUGAGGCUACAAGCCAGCUUCCUGACCUCCAGAGUGGGACUGAAGCUUUUUAACAAGAUUUAUCUGGAAAGUAUGACUGACAGGAGCAGCUUACUCACCAUUAGAUAAGUAUUGCAGAUGACUCAUGCUGGAGUAUUGAUAGCUGCUGCUGAGAUGGAUAUCCUGUUUUAUAACAGCUGUAGUGUGAUGCCAAGAGCCAGAAACCUGAAUUUCACCAUCCAUGCUUUUCUGUGAAUGUGCUUUGGGUCUCUGGCACCUUUUCUCCUUGGUUUGUCCAUCUAAAGGGUUCACGGGGAGGGGAGGUUUUGCUUCCCUCAGUGGGGUACAGGGUAUGGGGCAGCUCAUGUCACCUUGAAAUGAAAGCUAGUAUUGAAAGGCUGCAGCUUUUAUAGCUGUUCUUCAGGACAUGCAAUAUUUGUCUUUUUAAUAGAUGCUAUUAGUGUCUUUCCUCGAUUCUUUGGGUUUUUUUGUUUUGUUUGUGUUUUUUCAGAGCCAUUACACCCCUUCUUCAACAGAACAAACCAGAAGGUGUAGAAACAGAUUUUCUAAGUAUGGAAGCUCUCCUGAGGAGCUGCAUUAUGUGCUGCAGCCCCUGGGAUGGGAUGCAAUGCAAGGAGUGAAGAAGAGCUGCAAUGUACCACUGUUUUUGUGAGGAGAGGGGCUUUCUGGCAUAUCAUAUGGUGCCAAAAGACAUUUUACUCUUGGCAGCAAAAAUCCUUAUCCUUCUUGGUUUUUUUUUUUUCCAGGACAGAUGCUAUUUCCUGUUAGAGAUACUUUGUAUGCAAAUCAAGGUGGUACAACAAGAAAAAAGUCCUGAAAGCAAUCACACCGAUAAACCCAGCCCACUGGGGAAUUCCUGCUUAUCAUUUAUCUUUUGUUUUUUCAGUUCUGUACAAGAUACUUCUUUGCCUGUGCUUUCUUACAGUCUUUAAUGUUUGUCCUGUCAGACCUCUUGCUUGUGAACUACAGUGCUUGCAUUUUGCAAGGCUCCAUGUCAGUCUGCACAAACAAAAGGCAGUAAGUGCUGGAAAUUGGGGUUAACAGUCCCUGUGUUUCAGCUUGAUCUUGCAUUGAUCUGGUGCUUUCUUAAGUUCAAACCAGACGUGAGCCUCACACUACAGAUUGCCACAUGCCUAUAGUGAUGAUCUACUGGAAAGGUGAUCCCAGAAACCUCAGGAAUGAAAAAAAAAAAGAGAUAAAAAGCAAAAAGAAGCCAGCAAAAACUUUACCUAGUAACUUAAACAGGAGUAGGAUUUGACUUGAGGCACCUCAAGAGAUGGUGUGGGCAGCACUGCACUAAUGCAGUAACAUGAGUUGAUCACCUCAGUGCUCCAGCAGAGCAAACUCACAUAGAAUCACAGACUGGUUUGGGUGGGAAGGGACUGUAAAGAUCAUCUAGUUGAACUCCUUUGCCAUGGGCAGGGAGACCUUCUAUCAGACCAGGUAGUUCAGGGCCCCUUCCAACCUGGCCUUCAACACUUCCAGGGGUUGGGCAUCCACAACUUCCCUGGGCAUCCGCUCAGGCUGUGCCCUACAGGUGUCCCUAUAAGUGGAUGGAGCUGAUAAAAACCUGCAAAACCAGGCUGCCACCCUGCUGAUGUUACAGAAGGCUGUGAGGGUGAAAAAAAGACUCAGAAGCAGAAAAGGAUGUGUCAGAGAGCUGCAGAACAGCAUUGCCAAAGAACGUUCUCGUGCGUGUCCAGAGAUAGCCACUGCAGCCAAGUCCUGUUGAAUCAUGCCGUGGUUGUUCUGGCCUUUGUGUGGGUAACAGUGAUAAUCACUGUGUGUGGUGUUGGGUUUUGUUAUUUCUUUUUUUCCCCCCUAAAUGUAAAAUUAACAGUCAAAUUAGCAUUGGUGAGGCAGCAAGCCUGGUGCAGCUUUUAUCUAUCCUGAACCUCGGAACAAAGGAGGGGAGGAAAAUGGCUUGGCCAGUUUGGCAGCCGUGCACGUAACGGUCCUGGAGUUCAAAGCAAAGGGCACAACAGUCAGAUACCCCAACCCGCCUGGGCUGGGGCUGAUAACUCACAUUUCAAAGUAAAAGGCAAUCCUACAGGGGCUCUGCUGAGUGCCUAAAGCUCCAGUGCCGAGUCGUCUUUAAAAGGGGAUUUCAUAGGAGUAAUAUGAACAGAAAUGGUUCUUUUGUGGUUUUACACAUUCCAGGCAUGCCAGGACUGUUCGUGUCAAGGAUGGGCAGUCUCUGGGGUUUUGGGUUCUUUUUAUUUUUUUUUUACCCCAAAUAUUUGCCACAAACUAGCAGCUGAAAUGGUGAAAAAUAAAUUAGAGUUGCAAAAUCAUUACAGUAGCAGUAAUGGAAACUGUGAGGCUUAUACUUAAAUUGGCUGUGGGGUUUCACUCCAUCUUCUGCACUGUUGCACUGUGAGGAUUACUACUUUUACCUGCUAUGACCACUUCAGGGUGGAUGAUUUGAAAGCAGAGCUUUAACUGUUGGUUACCCAGGACCUCAAAAAACAAUGCUUUUGGAUUUUUCAGAAGCAAUACCUUUUCAGCUGAACCACUGUUAAGUCUGAAUUCUUUCAGUGUCAGUGCAGUUAUGUGGCCACACAGCACCUUUAUGUGAUGAUUUCUGCAGGGCUGUGUGGACAGAAAUGGGGCCCAGCUGUUCCCGCUUCAGGUGCACUUUUGUUUCACAGAGGUUAUGCAGGCUUGGGUUUUAAUUGAUGUAAGAGUUUCAAUGCACAAAGUUGUGGUGCCUGAAAUCUUAAAGGAGAGCACCUUUGCUCUGUCUUAAGACAGUCUGAAAUUUCAUAUGCAAUAAAACACUAGAUGGUUUGUGUAGACCUGCCCUGUUAGAUGAGUGUCUAAUUCAUAAGCCUGCAUGUCCUGUUCUU